rnacentral:rRNA from 1 species
GUGUCAGCAGCCGCGGUAAUACAGAGACUCCAAGCGUUAUUCGGAUUCACUGGGCGUAAAGGGUGCGCAGGCGGUCAGGUGUGUCAGAUGUGAAAGCUCCGGGCUUAACCCGGAAAUUGCGUCUGAAACUAUUUGGCUAGAGUAUUGGAGAGGGAAGCGGAAUUCUCGGUGUAGCGGUGAAAUGCGUAGAUAUCGAGAGGAACACCAAAGGCGAAGGCAGCUUCCUGGACAAUUACUGACGCUCAUGCACGAAAGCGUGGGUAGCGAAAGGGAUUAGAUACCCCUGUAGUCCACGCCCUAAACGGUGCACACUAGGUGUUGGCGGAUUCGACCCCGUCAGCGCCCCAGCUAACGCGAUAAGUGUGCCGCCUGAGGACUACGGCCGCAAGGCUAAA